UAGCCCUUUGCCUGAGGCAUAGCUGGCAUAGCGAAUUCACUCUGCUGAUCGUCCCCUUUAACAUUCCAGGAGAAGUAACCAGAUAUAGCGUGUGAUGAAGAGUUUUACAUUUACAUUUCAUAUUGACAACAAGG
rnacentral:lncRNA from 14 species